rnacentral:misc_RNA from 1 species
AACCUAGCACACCUGCGGUGUGUACCUGCGGAAGGAUCAUUACCGAGUUUACAACUCUCAAACCCCUGUGAACAUACCUAUACGUUGCCUCGGCGGAUCAGCCCGCGCCCCGUAAAAAGGGACGGCCCGCCCGAGGACCCCUAAACUCUGUUUUUAGUGGAACUUCUGAGUAAAACAAACAAAUAAAUCAAAACUUUUAACAAUGGAUCU